rnacentral:rRNA from 1 species
AUUGAACGCUGGCGGCAUGCCUUACACAUGCAAGUCGAACGGCAGCACGGGCUUCGGUCUGGUGGCGAGUGGCGAACGGGUGAGUAACGUAUCGGAACGUACCUUUCAGUGGGGGAUAACGUAGCGAAAGUUACGCUAAUACCGCAUAUUCUGUGAGCAGGAAAGCAGGGGAUCGCAAGACCUUGCGCUGAUUGAGCGGCCGAUAUCAGAUUGGCUAGUUGGUGGGGUAAGGGCCAACCAAGGCGACGAUCUGGAGCGGGUCUGAGAGGAGGGUCGGCCACACUGGAACUGGGACACGGUCCAGACUCCUACGGGAGGCAGCAGUGGGGAAUUUUGGACAAUGGGGGCAACCCUGGUCCAGCCAUGCCGCGUGAGUGAAGAAGGCCUUCGGGUUGUAAAGCUCUUUCGGCCGGGAAGAAAUCGCGUGGGCUAAUACCCUGUGUGGAUGACGGUACCGGAAUAUGAAGCACCGGCUAACUACGUGCCAGCCGCCGCCGUAACAC